rnacentral:rRNA from 1 species
UUUGUGGAGAGUUUGAUCCUGGCUCAGGAUGAACGCUGGCGGCGUGCUUAACACAUGCAAGUCGAACGGAAAGGCCCAAGCUUGCUUGGGUACUCGAGUGGCGAACGGG